UUGAUUCAGAACAUUUCCCUUCAAGGUUACUUUGGCUUUGGGGAAGAGCCAGAAGUCACAUGGUGUCCUACAGGUGAAGAGGUGGAUGAGGACCCUGCCAUGAUUUUAGCAGCCUGCCUUUCCGCUGGGUGGUGCUUGGCUGCAGCACACACUGUAUAUUCGAUUGUCCCUUGCAGAGACUCUCAGGAAAGAGGGCUCCAGAACUGCACCAGACCGUGCUGAGAACAGUGGGAUGAGUGUGUGCAAAGCCAGGGGAGUAUUUCAGGGAGAUCAGUGACGGUGUCUUUUACUGUACUACGUUGUUUUAACGUAAACACUCACUGUACAUUUUGAUGGCCCUGUGUUUGUGCACCCUGAUAUGCCAGGGGUGAAGGAGGCUCAGAAGACAAAGCGUUACUGCAUUUUCUUUACAAGAGUGGCAGCGUUUGGUAACUGGGUUGACAGACAUGUAGUCAGCAGACUCAUGAUUUGUAAACGUGUUGUCAAAACUCUGACCCCCAUGAUUCUGAGAAAUGAGAAGGUGAGAACACCCAGGUCAUAAGGUCAGAAGGGAAGGCUAUUCAAAAUGAUGGUGCUAGCCAGGCGUAGCAGCACAGGCCUGCAUCCCAGCACUGUGGGAGGCAGAGGCAGGAGGAUCACAGGUUCGAGCCCAGCCCAGACUAGGAUUACAGCUCAGUUGGGAGGCGCUGGGGAUUGUCUGAUGCAGGCCGAUGCUCCUCGCCCUGGUUCUCGGUGCGAUUGUGCAUUGCUAACCAUGUUAAACCAUGAAGCUCUGAGCUCUUGUGUUGCAGUGUGGUUUGCCUAGCGUUCUUGCAUGCUAACUAGUAGAAGAUUAGCUGUUUGCAUGAGCCGGAAGCCGCUCCCGAUGAAGCAUGUGGGGGAGGCUGCGCCACCCCAGCUGAGUCCUCGCGUCCUGUCUGUGGCCUCAUUCACCAUGAUAUUAGGUUGAAAAAGCUCGUCAACGAACGGGAGUGCUUAUUGGAACAGAUCAGGAAACUUAAAGGGCAGCUGGAGGGAAG